GAGGGGAGCCCUGAGGGGAGCCCUCAGCGCUGCCUCCGCCGCGCGGGGAGCCGCACACAGCCAUCGGCCCAGGGCUGACCCCAGGCCGAGAGGAGCUGCUAUCUGCAGUAACAGCACGCUGAACAGAGCAGCUGCCUGGUGUCACUCAGAGCUAAGAUAACAUCAGAUAAGGCGCCAAACGUGACGGGCUGCAGGUGAGAUCUUCGAUCAGAAGUGAUGAGAUACUUUGCAACAGGAAUCUGAAGACCAGGAUUUGACAGUCUUCAGGACUAGCCUAAUGGCUUUCCUAGGGGACUCGCAUUAUCCUCUAUCUUCCCCCCAAAUGAGUUACAUUAUUUGGAGCCUGAACACGUAAGGCAAAGAUUUUGUGAACUUAUAUCCCAACUGCAGCAUGCAUCCAAGAAACAUCAGUUAAGUUUUACUUCAAAGAAAGGUAAAUGUUUGACAGUUGGUUUGAGUACAGCUUGAGCUCUGGCAUCAGGAAGUUACAAGCUACCACAGCACCCAAAAAGCAGCAGAGAUUUUGUUAAUCAAUGGUGGAGGGAUUCUUUCCCUGCCCAUAAUGGGACAAAGUAGAAGAUGCUGAAGACCUGGGAAUGGUAAUAUUGUACUCUUUCCUCUUCCUCUCCCAAACUUUUUAGUUUCACAUCACCUCAGUGCUCACUCUAAGCCUCCUGCUCUUGUCGCAGGAUAUAAUUUUGAAACAAUUGAUAUUUCCUGUAAAGACUUCAUCAGAAUCCAAGUUUUCCACUACAGUAGGCUCCAGGAACAAGAGAAAAGGGAUUCGUUCUUCACAAACCUUUGCCAGUGCAAACAUAUCUUAGUUUUAUUGCUGUUCUUACAGGUUUGAAAAGCAUCUUGUAAUCAUGAAAGCACAGAAGAGAAAGUUCUAGAGCACAGUUAUGCAAAGAGUUACAGGGACCUGUAUUCUGUUUGUAGUGCUGUUCUGUACAGAGGGUCCUGGUUUAAUUUACCUUUUCCAUCUCUAGAACUUUAUCUUGCAUCUCCUUCAGGGCACAAUG